rnacentral:misc_RNA from 1 species
AGCAUACACGCGCUUCUCUCUCUGCGAAGAAAUUCCUCCUUGCUCCCUAAGGAAAGCUCGAUACCGAGAUCAAAAAAGUCAGGGUCAGAUCUAGGGUUUCCAGUUUUCUUAAUCUUCCGAAAAAUGGCGCUCGAGUGGGUCGUGCUUGGUUACGCUGCUGGUGCAGAGGCGAUCAUGGUCCUCCUCCUCACUAUCCCGGGCCUCGACGGUCUCCGCAGGGGACUCGUUGCCGUUACUCGGAAUCUGCUCAAGCCUUUCCUAUCGGUGGUGCCGUUCUGCCUGUUCCUUCUUAUGGAUAUUUACUGGAAGUACGAGACGCGUCCGAGCUGCGAGGGCGAUUCCUGCACCCCUUCCGAACACCUCCGCCACCAGAAGUCCAUCAUGAAGAGCCAGAGGAACGCGCUUCUCAUUGCGGCGGCGCUUGUGUUUUAUUGGCUGCUUUAUUCGGUGACGCAUCUAGUGGUCAAGAUCGAGCAGUUGAAUCAGCGUAUUGAGAGGCUUAAGAAUAAAGACUGAAGUCUCUGGCCAUGGAUGAUGGAUAUGAGAUAAGUGGAUUUGUUUUUUGAAUUUCGUUUUCUUUUUGAUGAAUUGCGAUUAUGAUGAUCUUAACGUUACGUUUAAGCUUAAUAGAGUAGGUAAUUAUGUUGUGUUUGGACGAUUGACCGUUAUUGGUUAAUGUGAAAGCCUCUUUAAUCCUUUUGAAAAUUUUUGUGCGUUUAAUUCUGAUUAAAUAAAAACUGGUAUUUAUGUCUGUGGAAAUGUUAAUUAAUUGAAAAUUCAUUAUUAUCACAUAGUUUUGGUAUAUUUUAUGUAGCAAUUGAUUACAGUAUGCAGUCUACAAGCUAGUGAAAUGAAUUAGAUUUUUCAUUUUAGCACCUGUGUUUCUGCUUGGUUUUCCAGAAUAUAGUGCACUUUCAUUAGGCAUCUCAGCUCUUCUACAUACAUCCUCAAUAUUCUCAGUUGAUCCUGGCUUGAAUACUGGGUUAAUUUCAGUUUUCAUAUUGUUAUUAUUAUAUUAUACUUUAUUAGUAUUGAAUUGAAUUGCAUCCUUUGUGUUAGCUAUUAAGCACAACACGUUGGUCCGAGAUUAUGGGCAUUCUUAGCUUUGAACUAGAAGAAACCUAACUACUAAUGAGGCUCCCUUGGUCUAAAGGAACCAAGCUCAAGUUUUUUAAUAUUUGGCUCAUUAGGGCUCGUUAGCUGACAGUCUUGCGAAGUCUCAAGAUUCUCGUGAGUAGGCUUGCUAAAUAAGUCCGUGAAUAGGCUCAUUUUUUAAAAUAUUUAUAUACUUGAAGGACUGAGCCUAUUUUUUAAGUGGUGGUGGUGGUGGUGCUAGUGUAUGAUUAACUACGUUAUUUUAAGUAUAAUUAAUUAUGUAUGUAAUUGUCAUUCCAUUAGUAAUCAAAUACGCAAUGUAUAUUACAACUUUGAUUACGCCACAUCAAACAUGCCUAAUAUCAUUUUCAGAAGGUGGAAAGUGAGGUUAAAUUUCUCCCUUGUACCUCAAUGUAGGGUGUUGUAGUUGUGUUGUCCUCGGUAUCUUUGCCGGUAAGGUAACCCAAGUAUGGACUGACAUCCUUUGUUGAAGAUCGUUUUUGUCGCUGCUACUGAUUGGAACAGAAAUUUGUCAACAAAAUUGAGGGAAGGGUUUUUGUGGUGUCUUAAUGGGAAAGAGACGUAUGAAUGGAUAUUUGUAAAACAAAUGAGUUUUCCUUAGAUUCAUCCCAUACUCUAAUUGCACUUUUUUUAUUUUCUUUUUUUUUUUCAGUAUUUCAACCCUAUUGUCUAUUACUUUCAUCUAGAGGCCGAGACCAAAAAAUUUUGCAUUUGAUUAAUUUGCUUCUGCAAAUUGUUUUCAUUUUUUUUUAUUUACUUGGAUUUGACUGUGAAAUUGAUUAUGUUGUGAAUUUCUAUUUAGAUUUAGCCUGUUUAUUGUUUGUGAUUUUCCGUACUGGAUUUGGAUUUUGAUUGUUUAUGGUAUGUAUUAUGUUGGGGUUUUUUUUAUAAAUUGAGAAGCAGAGAGAGACUGUGUGAGCGAGAAAUGGAGAGAAAGUGUAUGGGCAAGAGAGAGAGAGAGGUGGAUUGAAUCGGGACUUUGUGAUGCUGCAAUGGAAACCCUCAGCGUGUGAAAGAAAGUAGCGGAAAAUGGAAAAUAGCAGGAGAUGUAAAGACCUUUGGCGUUGGAUCAGAGUGUAAUGGUGAGGGAGAGAGACAAAGAUAGAUAAUGAGGGUGUUUUGAUAAUUUUUAUUUUAUUUUUUUACAACAUGAUGCUGCAUCAACAGAAAAUCAAGGAACUGGUUAUUUCUUUAUGGUUUUUAAAUUGAAGGCCAUGAGAUUUUAUGUUAAAGAUUUAUGUUUAGAGAUUGCACUGUUUUAGCGUCUAAAUUGAGUUAUCAUGAGUAAAUUUUCCCCGAAGUGAAACCUGUUACUUUUAGCAUUUCCAUUUUAUAUUGAAGAAGAAAUUUUCUAGGGAAUUCAUCGCGGGAGUUUUGACUUUAUCUAGGUGUAAAUAUGGUUGAGUUUUAAUACUGAAAGCUCAUUCUUAUGUUUGUCACAUCUUGUAGGUUGCAA